UUUUUUUUAAUGGUUUUCUUUGUUGUGCAAAAGCUUGUCAGUUUGAUUAGGUCCCGUUGGUUUAUUUUUGCUUUUAUUUCUGUUGCCUUGGGAGACUGAUCUAAGACAACAUUUGUAAGGUUGAUGUCAUAGAAUGUUUUUCCUAUGUUCUUUUCUAGGAGUUUGAUGGUUUCUUGCCUUACGUUUAAGUCUUUAAUCCAGUUCAAGAUUAUUUUUGUGCAUGGUGUGAGAGUACGCUCCAGUUUCAUUGAUUUAAAUGCAUCUGUCCAGUUUUGCCAGCACCACUUGUUGAAGAGACUGUCUUUUCCCCACUAAUACUCUUGCCUCCUUUGUUGAAGAUUAACUGACCAUAGGUGUCCAGUUAUUUCUGGUUUCUCUAUUCUGUUUCAUUGGUCUGCACGUCUGUUUUUGUACCGGGAUUACACUGUUUUGAUUACCGUAGCUUUGUAAUACUGUCUGAAGUCUGGGAGAGUUAUGCCUCCUUAGUUUUUAUUCCUCAGGAUUGCUUUGGCAAUCCUGGGUCUUUUGUGGUUCCAUAUAAAUUUUUGGACUGUUUGUUCUAAUUCUGUGAAAAAUGUCAUGAGUAGUUUGAUAAGAAUUGCAUUGAAUCUGUAGAUUGCUUUGGGUAGUAUGGUCAUUUUAACAAUAUUAAUUCUUCCAAUCCAGGAGCAUGGAAUAUUUUUCCAUUUCUUUGCAUCCUCUUUAAUUUCCUUGAUUAAUGUUUUAUAGUUCUCAGCAUAUAAGUUUUUCACCUCCUUAGUCAAGUUUAUUCCUAGUUAUUUAAAAUUUUGCAGUGUGAUUUUAAAAGGUAGUGUAUUUUUAUUCUCCUUUUCUAAUAUUUCAUUGUUAAUAUACAGAAAUGCAAUCAAUUUCUGAAUGUUAAUCUUGUAUCCUGCUGCUUUGUUGAAUUCAUUGCUCAGUUUGAGUAGUUUUUUUUUUGUGAGGACUUCUUAGGGUUUUCUAUAAGUAAUAUCAUGUCAUCUGCACAGAGCGACAAUUUUACCUCUUCUCUUCCAAUUUGGAUACAUUUUAUUUCUUUUGUUUGUCUGACUGCUGUGGUUAGAACUUCCAAUUCUAUGCUGAAUAAAAGUGGUGAGAGUGGGCAUUCUUAUCAGAUUUUAGCAGGAAGGCUUUCAGCUUUUCUCUGUUGAGUAUUAUAUUGGCUGUGGGUUUGUCAUAAAUACAUUUUAUUAUGUUAAGAUAUGUUCCCUCUAUACCCACUUUGAUAAGAGUUUUUAUCAUGAAUGGAUAUUGGAUUUUGUUAAAUGCUUUUUCUGCAUAUAUGGAGAUGAUCAUGUGGUUUUUGACUUUUCUUUUGUUAAUGUGGUGUAUGACUGAUUGAUUUGUGUAUGUUGAACCACCCUUGUGAACCUGGGAUGAAUCCCACUUGGUCAUGGCAUAUGAAAUUUUUAAAUGUUGUUAGAUUCAGUUGGCUAAAAUUUUGUUGAGAAUUUUUAUGUCUAUAUUCAUCAAAUAUACUGGCCUUUAAUUUUCUUUUUUGGUAGUAUCUUUGGUUUUGGUAUUAGGGUGAUGGUGGCUUCAUAGAAUAUCUUUGGGACUAUUCCUUCUUCUUCAAACUUUUGGAAAAGUUAAACAAGGAUGCAUAUAAGUUCUUCUUUGAAUGUUUGGUAGAAUUCACCUGUGAAGCAAUCUGGUCUACUAAAAAACCAAUCGGUCAAUGAGGAAAUCAAAUUUUAUUUUGUUUUUUAUCGAUUCACCCAUCUGUCUAUUCAUUCAUGUGUACACACCCUCACCUAAUUAGCUGAAGGAUUUCAGAACGACAAUGCAACCAGAGAAAUCAUAAAUAUUAUCUUCAUUUUAUAAGUGAACAUAUUGGGGCUCAAAGAGAACUUAUUUGCCUUCAUUAAUUGAUUUUGGAAUCAGGGCCAGAUCUCCAAUUCACAAUUCAAUGCUGUUUUUAUUAUAUUAAAAUUUAAGAUAUUUUGGAAGUUCAAAAUAAUAACCUUCUGUUUCUGUGAUUUCAGAAAACAUUAUCUUCAUUGCUGGUACAAAAUAAUGUGUGUUUCAUAUUCAAUUGCUUUUCUGCAGUUUACUUUUUCCAAGUUGUGUGUUUUGGACUCCUUAGGCUCUGUGAUAACCAACAAAAUUAUAGUUUCUGGCUUUGAAAAUCCACAAGCCUUUGUAAGUACUGGUAAAAGAAUCCUCUGCAAAUAAUACGGAAAAAAUGUUGCAUUUUUUUCCCCUACAGCUUUGGAGAAAAAGCAAACGGCAUUGUGCAUAAUGAAAAUGUUAGCUGCACUUUAGAUAUUGAUGUAAUAUCCUGUGAAAGUAACCCUCAUCCUGUAAAAGGUCUGCUUAUGAUUGGUUGACUUAAAAAUGUUUUGCUGUGGAAAUAAAAUUUAAAUUCCUUUCUGCUCUCUAGAAACUAUAAAUGUGCAUAUCUUUUCAUUUUAAGCCAGAAGGGAAUCACUAGCACUUCCCUUUUCUUACUCUUGCAUGUCAUACAUAUUAUGAUUUGGAUAGAACUCUUUUUUCAAGAAAGAGCUUGAGCAUCCUGUCUCAUAUAAAUGAACAGUGUCCAGAGGCAUCACCUGCUGUUCACAUGCUCUUCGAGGUGAAAGUCCAGAAAAGAAUGGUGUUUCCUUUACUUUUAAGUGUAUUUUUACCUCCACAUACUCAUACAUCUCCAGCCUUAAGUUAUUUUAAAUGUUAGGUUUGCUAUGGUUAUUCCUAAAUGAUGGAUUGAAGUUUGGUAAUUGCAUCUGUCUUCAUGAUCCAUGGGCACUGCUCUGUGGUUGACCCUGUAAGGACCACUGGACUGUGUCUUAGAGGAGCCUGAGAUGGGUAGAUUAGUCAUGCUCUGGUUGGCAUCAUCCUAAAUCUCUUGGGCAUGGCCUUUGCCCCCUCUUCCUGAGACCCUCAAGGAAAUUAUUGCUCCUCUGGCCACAGUUGACAGUCAAUAGAUCCUUGACAGAUAGAUUUAUGUGCGAAUGUUUGAGUGAAAUGUCAGUUCUGUUUCUCCAGGACCACAAGUGUCAGAAAAAUAAAGUACACAGAAUUCUAAAAUGGAAUCACUUAUAAAAACAUACAUGAUAACCACAGAAUUCAGAAAGGAAAGCCUACCAAUCUCUCUAUUGUUAUUGCUUUUACAGGAGAUCAGUGAGUGAAGGGUGAAAGUUGUAAGAGCAGUUGAGUAACCUGGCUCUUUCUAUGCUGUUCUUACCCCAUGCCUGGUUCUAUCACAAUUCUUGUCAUGAUGUGUAAUAAUCAAGGAUUUGCUUUUCCAUGUCUCCUGCAAUGUUGUGCAUCCCUCAAGAGAAAGGACUAUCUAUUGUUUUUUAUACAACUUCAUGACUUAGCACAAUGCCUGGUAUAUAAGGGUAAGGCCAAUAAAUGUUUUUUCUUUUUUUUAAUGGAUGAAUGGGGGAAAAAAGCUUAUGAAAAGAAAAGAAAGAUAUAUGACUUUGUAAAGGUUAAAUGGGCUGUAUAAGGAAGAAAACAUUUACCAAAAAUCUUUGGCCCAGACUAUAGAGACAUUCAGCCAUUCUCUCAUCUUGGAGUGAAAUCUAAUAGAAACUCUACCCUCCUGAGUAUAAGAGUUAAAUCAUUUAGAGCAGAACUCUUAGAGAAUCAUGUAUAAAAUAAAGAAGCCCAUCUGGUAUCAUAAUAUAAAUAUGUACUUUUGGAAAAAAUAACACAACAUAACACAAAGCACAUCUAUCAUUUUUAUUAUAUAAUCUGCAAAAACUAAAGAUUUACGAAAUCUUUUUGGCCAGGGGGUGUAUGAAAAAGAUUGAUUUUCCCAAGUGGAGGAGUAAAGACCCCAGGAGGGACAUGAGAUUUUUAUGUUUAUCUAACAUGAGCUUAGGUUUUAAAAGGCAAGGAAACAAUAACUUGGCAUAAAUUAUGCUUCUGUUCCUGAGGCUCUCUGCUUGUUCUGAAGAGAUGCACAGUCAAUAAAACCUGAGGGUUCUGUUAAGUGGGGUAAUUUCUAUUAUUCACUCCAACCUGAAGAGCCUGGGGAAAUAGAUACACAACUCAACCAGAUAUCUGAAUUCUCCUUAACUUCUGCAGGAACAUUUAUGAUCCACUUCCUCCAGCCCUAGGCACAGUGCAGAGUUCAAUGCUUCUUCCAUAAUUGGAUCUUCACACAAUUUUCCCUUUUCCUCCAGAGCACAAACCCUUGCAAACCUUCUUCCAGGCACCCUUCUCCUCUUAGCUUGCCAUUUAGCAACUAGAUUUGAAGCCAUCCAAUAUUUUAUUUAUCUACAACUCUAAUUGGUACAGUCCUCUCAAAUUUAUAAGUGCUACUACACACAUAAUCCUUUGAAUAAACAAAGGACCACCAGUUAACUUGAGAACUGUAGGUAAGGUGCAGAAAUUGCCCAUCCAGCAGACCAGCAUGGAGAAGGUUAAUCACCACCGCCUAGUGGACAGGAACCUGAAUCCAAUCAAGUGUCUCCACUAGUUUAGUAGUUUAAGUGAUACCACAGAGACUCCAUCAGCUGAAUGAGAGAAAUUUUACAGGAUGAGUGACCUAGUUUAUUUAACAACUGGUAUGGAAGAAGGAGGAGGAGUCACUUUAUAGAUGAAAAGAGACUUAGGGAUGUGUUAAUCAUAUGCAACUUGUGGAUACUGCCUGGAUCCCAAUAUAAACAAACCAACUACCAAAAGACCUUUUCGGACAAUCUGGGAAAUUUAAAAACAAUCUGAAUAUAAGAUGAUACUAAGGAAUUAUUGUUAAUUCUUUUAGUUAAUCUUAAAUUUAUUUUAAAAUGAUUAUUGCUGGAGUUCUUUAGUGGCCUAGCAGGUUAAAGAUCCAGUGAUGU
rnacentral:lncRNA from 1 species